rnacentral:lncRNA from 1 species
AUCCUACUGGAAGCCUGAUCCCCUUUCCCUGACUGAGUCUGUAUCCUACUGGAAGCCUGAUCCCCUUUCCCUGACUGAGUCUGUAUCCUACUGGAAGCCUGAUCCCCUUUCCCUGACUGAGUCUGUAUCCUACUGGAAGCCUGUAUGGGGGAGGUGUUGCUGUAUAUAUUCAGAGCCAUAUCCCUGUAAUGUUUAUGGGGGAGGUGUAUAUAUUCAGAGCCAUAUCCCUGUAAUGUUUAUGGGGGAGGUGUAUAUAUUCAGAGCCAUAUCCCUGUAAUGUUUAUGGGGGAGGUGUAUAUAUUCAGAGCCAUAUCCAUGUAAUGUUUAUAGGGGAGGUGUAUAUAUUCAGAGCCAUAUCCCUGUAAUGUUUAUGGGGGAGGUGUAUAUAUUCAGAGCCAUAUCCCUGUAAUGUUUAUGGGGGAGGUGUAUAUAUUCAGAGCCAUAUCCCUGUAAUGUUUAUGGGGAGGUGUAUAUAUUCAGAGCCAUAUCCCUGUAAUGUUUAUGGGGGGAGGUGUAUAUAUUCAGAGCCAUAUCCCUGUAAUGUUUAUGGGGGAGGUGUAUAUAUUCAGAGCCAUAUCCCUGUAAUGUUUAUAGGGGAGGUGUAUAUAUUCAGAGCCAUAUCCCUGUAAUGUUUAUGGGGGAGGUGUAUAUAUUCAGAGCUAUAUCCCUGUAAUGUUUAUGGGGGAGGUGUAUAUAUUCAGAGCCAUAUCCCUGUAAUGUUUAUAGGGGAGGUGUAUAUAUUCAGAG